rnacentral:rRNA from 1 species
AAACUUUCAACAACGGAUCUCUUGGUUCUGGCAUCGAUGAAGAACGCAGCGAAAUGCGAUAAGUAAUGUGAAUUGCAGAAUUCAGUGAAUCAUCGAGUUUUUGAACGCACAUUGCGCCCGCUGGCACUCCGGCGGGCACACCUGUUCGAGCGUCAUUU